GUGGGGGGAAACCCUGAAGCAGCAACGCCGCGUGGAGGAUGAAGGUUUUCGGAUUGUAAACUCCUUUUGUUAGAGAAGAUAAUGACGGUAUCUAACGAAUAAGCACCGGCUAACUCCGUGCC
rnacentral:rRNA from 1 species